GUUUCUUCCCUCUUUGCUGUUCGCAGGGACGCUGCCUGGUAGUUUCAGUUACUUUUGUUUUCUUUCUGCCUGCCUUUAUUGAUCAUUACAGUAGGUGAAAUUAUCGAUAUCAAUAAUAAUAUUGUAAUACAAUAGGUGCAAUUAUCAAUAUCAAUAUUAUUACAACAGGUGCAAUUAUCAGUAUCAUUACAAUAGGUGCAAUUAUCAGCGAUCAAUAAUGUGAAUUAUAAAAUGGAUGAAAUAAGGGGAGGAGGUCGGGCGCGGUGGUUUACGCUUGUAAUCCCAGCACUUUGGGAGGGCGAGGCGGGUGGAUUACCGGAGGUCAAGAGCUCGAGACCAGCCUGGCCAACAUGGUGACACCUCGUCUCUACUAAACAAACAAAAAUUAGCUGGGCGUGGUGGCGCGCGUCUGUAAUCCCAACUACUCAGGAGGCGAGGGCGGAGGCGGAGGCGGAGUUGGAGUUUGCAGUGAGCCGAGAUCGUGCCAUUGCACUCCAGCUUGGGCAACAGAGCAAAAACUCCGUCUCAAAUAAAAGGAAAAAGGAAAAAAAAAAAAAAAGAAAAAGAAAAAAAAGAAAUAAGGCGAGGAAAAAUAUCCGAGGCAUCAUUUUGGGGAGUUAGGCCUCAGAAGCGACCUUAGAGUUUGGUAAUAUUUGAGUGUGAAAAGCUUUACAGCAGUGCUUCUCUUCACUGGGGGAACGGUCGGUUUAUUUUUUUCAAUUUUCAAUUAGUUUUUGACAAGUUAAUAAAACAGAAAAAUGAAAAGACAUACAAAGUCCAAGUCAAAACUUUUUAUCGUUAGAGUUAACAGCCAUAAAAUUACCUGCAAAAUUGACAUAGAGUUUUCUACUCUCUCUCUGUGAACCAUUUGCAAACAGUUCUCAGAAGAGCCCAGGUCUAUAGACCAUGGUUAGAGUACUCAAGGUAAACUACUCAAAUUAGACCAUACUCAGCUGUAGAGUUUCAACCAAAUGAGAUUUGUUUGGAGAACAUCAUAGUCUCUCUCAGUUGGGCGUGCUGGCUCAUGACUGUAAUCCCAGCACUUUGAGAGGCCGAGUCGGUAGAUCGCCAGACCUCAGGGCAACAUGGCGAGACCCCAUCUCUUAAAAAAAAA
rnacentral:lncRNA from 1 species